CAGCCGCCGCGGGAAUACGUAGGGUGCAAGCGUUAAUCGGAAUUACUGGGCGUAAAGCGUGCGCAGGCGGUUCGCUAAGACAGAUGUGAAAUCCCCGGGCUUAGCCUGGGAACUGCAUUUGUGACUGGCGGGCUAGAGUAUGGCAGAGGGGGGUAGAAUUCCACGUGUAGCAGUGAAAUGCGUAGAGAUGUGGAGGAAUACCGAUGGCGAAGGCAGCCCCCUGGGCCAAUACUGACGCUCAUGCACGAAAGCGUGGGGAGCAAACAGGAUUAGAUACCCGUGUAGUCCCUGUCUCUUAUAC
rnacentral:rRNA from 1 species